GCCUGAAUGCUCUGACUCUCCGGCCCAGCCUGCUACAACACUCAGCACGGCCUGUCCUUCUGCCUCAUCCCUCAUCCAAGCCAGACAACUGAAAGAAAACAAGCAGGGGAGCUCCAUGACCGCACAAAGAGUCUGCUACACUACUGCCUUAAAGCUAUGGGAAUAGCGGAACAUGGUACAACUGUAUAGCAGGCUGAGAAUUUGGGAUGAAUGAGGCAAAUAUGCACCUCUGGAGAAAAAAGAAAACCUACGAAGUCUGCUUUCCGCAGGGCCCAAAACAGGAAAGAGUAAAAGCCUUUGAGCUGAAAGUUUCCAUGGUUGGUCUUAGCAGAGGAAAGUGAGCUUUCCUGGAAAAGCUUGCUGAGGUACUUCAUCGUUCGGCUGCUUGUACUUGGAACAACAACUAGAAUUACU